rnacentral:lncRNA from 1 species
UCUUGUGCUAACAAUCCUACAUUGCACAUGGAAGAUUGAACUAACUAAUGCAACUACUUCCUUUCUCUUUAUCAUAAAAGAGUAGUGUGUCUACUGAAAUAUAGUAUAAUAAAAUAAUCAAAUUAAAGUGUAAUUUUGGGCCCUUGAGAUUUCAUAGCAUCCAAAGGCAGUUGCUAUUUUAGAUUUUGGAGUUUGCAUUAAUAGAAUGGGAGUAUGG